GGGUAACCUGCCCAUAAGACUGGGAUAACUCCGGGAAACCGGGGCUAAUACCGGAUAACAUUUUGAACCGCAUGGUUCGAAAUUGAAAGGCGGCUUCGGCUGUCACUUAUGGAUGGACCCGCGUCGCAUUAGCUAGUUGGUGAGGUAACGGCUCACCAAGGCAACGAUGCGUAGCCGACCUGAGAGGGUGAUCGGCCACACUGGGACUGAAACACGGCCCAGACUCCUACGGGAGGCAGCAGUAGGGAAUCUUCCGCAAUGGACGAAAGUCUGACGGAGCAACGCCGCGUGAGUGAUGAAGGCUUUCGGGUCGUAAAACUCUGUUGUUAGGGAAGAACAAGUGCUAGUUGAAUAAGCUGGCACCUUGACGGUACCUAACCAGAAAGCCACGGCUAACUACGUGCCAGCAGCCCGCGGUAAUACGUAAGUGGCAAGCGUUAUCCGGAAUUAUUGGGCGUAAAGCGCGCGCAAGUGGUUUUCUUAAUUUCUGAUGUGAAAGCCCACGGCUCCAACCCGUGGAGGGUCAUUGGAAAACUGGGGAAAACUUUGAGUGCAAAAAGA
rnacentral:rRNA from 1 species